ACAUCAACUCUGUUUACCUCUGCUCACUUCAUGCCAAGAUUACCCUCUACUACCCAUGCUACCUUUCAUUCCAAGCCAUCGUUCCUUGCACGUUUUUCAUGCCAGAUGAGGACAUCUCUACUGCAGAGAGAGAACCUGUGUUAUCUUGGGCUGCCACACUGCCGGACUCACUUUGUGAGACACCAAAGCGAACCAUCAGACUUGGAACUGGCGUGCAAGCUGGAUUGUUGUUCCAGCCGCCUUACAUGGAAAACAGACACAAUACAGAAUUACACCAAAGGCACAGAGCUACGAGGGAUCCUGGAUGAACCUGUAAGUGAGCACAUAGCGAUGAACUUGGAAUCAUCAGCAUCCAUGAAAAAUCCGAUGACGGACAAUUACCUGCACAAUAAAAAUGUUUUAUCAAUUUGGUCAUAGCAAAACAAGAACCUCCAAAAAAAAAGCACUAUACAGUGUCAAAGCAGUUCAAUUAGUUUCUUUCACAUCCAUCAGUAAUGUGUAACCAACAAUUGUUAAGCGCCUAUCACAGGGACGCAAACUUACAAAGAAUGAAAAUUGAAAACAGCUACCAUGGUGGAUAGGUAAUUAGUUUGCAUCCCUGUUUUUAGGAAUGGGAUCUGUAUUUUGUUUAGUUUCUACAGAGUAUUUUUAGGACAAUGGAACAAUGUAACUGCAAAAAUUUAAAAACUCACAAGAGAACAUACACUGAAUACAAUAUCAGUCCAACUAAAA